rnacentral:misc_RNA from 1 species
GAUGAAGAACGUAGUGAAAUGCGAUACUUGGUGUGAAUUGCAGAAUCCCGUGAACCAUCGAGUCUUUGAACGCAAGUUGCGCCCGAAGCCAUUAGGCCGAGGGCACGCCUGCCUGGGCGUCACACGUCGUUGCCCCCCCAUCUACUCCUUCGGGAUUGCGGGGGGCGGAUGAUGGCCUCCCGUGCGCCUCGCCGCGCGGUUGGCAUAAAUGCCAAGUCCUUGGCGACGCACGCCACGACAAUCGGUGGUUGCGAAACCUCGGUUGCCCGUCGUGUGCGGUCGUCGCGCAUCGAGGGCUCGAAAAAAUUGCCGGGUUCCGGCUCGGCUUUCAACGCGACCCCAGGUCAGGCGGGGUUACCCGCUGAAUUUAAGCAUAUCAAUAAGCGGAGGA